AGAGGAUUAGCUCAGCUGGGAGAGCGUCUGCCUUACAAUAAUUUUAAAUUGAUUUUUUCAUUAAAUAUCGUUUCAA
rnacentral:tRNA from 1 species